CAGAUGAUUGAAAACUCCUGAGACAUUUUCUGGAGUAGAAUGGGUAGUGAAGACCCAUGUCAGCGAUCAGAGGACUCUGGAAACCAGGAGAGCUGCCUGCUGUGUCAAGGCUGGCCUGAGGGCAUUUGCUGAGCACAGAGAAACCCAGGAGCGGAGAUCCACAGUCUUUUCCCACCCCACCUCUUGAUCUGUUUGAUUUACCCACAGAAAGCCAGCCAGGAUCCCCUGAGAGAGUCUCUAGGCCCAGAAUGGAGUCCUCAGGACUGCAGGGGACUGUGAGGCUAACAGUUAAACCUGCUCAGGACUUCAGAGAGUUGAAGGGGGACUGACAGUAUCCCCAGCACGGCCUCCUAGAUCUGAAUAAACUGGCAGUCCUACUGUGUCUUUCCCAGUUUGCCUGCUUCCCCUUAGCUUUCACUAGAACUAGCUGGAAUACCCCUACCACCACCUCCUGUUUCCCGCCUUGCCACACCUGUGUUGUGGGUGCCAGCCUGGGAGCCGUUGGACACUUCCAGAGGGCUCCCAGAGAGAGGCAGGUCACCACCUCUGUAACAGGCCAAGGAGAGCCAAGUGAGAAGGUUCAUUUACUUUGGGCAAGUUAUUUAACCUCUGAGCCUGUUUUUCUCUCCACUGUUGAUUACUAACCUUGUCCAAAAAGCUCUUGAAGGGUAGGGCUUUUCCUUCUUCACCUCUGUACUAUAAUCCCUUCCCCAACAAAUAUCUGACACUGAGGAGCUCAAUAAAGAUUUGGUCAAGU